rnacentral:rRNA from 1 species
UAAGCUUAGUUGCCAUCAUUAAGUUGGGCACUCUAGGUUGACUGCCGGUGACAAACCGGAGGAAGGUGGGGAUGACGUCAAAUCAUCAUGCCCCUUAUGAUUUGGGCUACACACGUGCUACAAUGGAUAAUACAAAGGGCAGCGAAUCCGCGAGGCCAAGCAAAUCCCAUAAAAUUAUUCUCAGUUCGGAUUGUAGUCUGCAACUCGACUACAUGAAGCUGGAAUCGCUAGUAAUCGUAGAUCAGCAUGCUACG